rnacentral:rRNA from 1 species
UACGUAGGGACCAAGCGUUGUUCGGAUUUACUGGGCGUAAAGGGCGCGUAGGCGGCGCGGUAAGUCACUUGUGAAAUCUCUGAGCUUAACUCAGAACGGCCAAGUGAUACUGCAGUGCUAGAGUGUGGAAGGGGCAAUCGGAAUUCUUGGUGUAGCGGUGAAAUGCGUAGAUAUCAAGAGGAACACCUGAGGUGAAGACGGCUCACUGGCUCGGUACUGACGCUGAGGUGCGAAAGCGUGGGGAGCAAACAGG